rnacentral:pre_miRNA from 1 species
CGAGACGGGUGGAUCACGAGGUCAGGAGAUCGAGACCAUCCUNUGUUAGCCAGGAUGGUCUCGAUCUCCUGACCUCGUGAUCCGCCCAUCUCG